rnacentral:rRNA from 1 species
GAGGGCAAGUUUGGGGCCAGCAGCCGCGGUAAUUCCAGCUCCAAUAGCGUAUAUUAAAGUUGUUGCAGUUAAAAAGCUCGUAGUUGGAUUUUUGUUAAUAAUUUAUAUAAAAUAUUUUGAUGAAUAUUUAUAUAGUAUUAACAUAAUUCAUAUUACUAUUUUUUUUUUUAGUAUAUGAAAUUUUACUUUGAGAAAAUUAGAGUGCUUAAAGCAGGCAUAUGCCUUGAAUACUCCAGCAUGGAAUAAUAUUAAAGAUUUUUAUCUCUUUUAUUGGUUCUAAGAUAAGAAUAAUGAUUAAUAGGGACAGUUGGGGGCAUUUGUAUUUAACAGUCAGAGGUGAAAUUCUUAGAUUUGUUAAAGACAAACUAAUGCGAAAGCAUUUGCCAAGGAUGUUUUCAUUAAUCAAGAACGAAAGUUAGGGGAUCGAAGACGAUCAGAUACCGUCGUAGUCUUAACCAUAAACUAUGCCAACUA